rnacentral:lncRNA from 1 species
GUCUGUCAGCGACAGCAACAACAACAUCACCUUCCUAUCAAACCAAUUUGGAAGAAACCCCUAAACCAAUUUCAUACAAAUCCAUACAUCAUAAACCAAAUUCACAAAAACCCCAAAUUCUAAGAAAAGGAACGUGAACAGUACCUCGUGGAUGUGAACUGUGGAGUUAAGCUUGGAUGGCUGAGGGAGGAAGAUGACUAUGUCGGAGAGAGAGAGAGAGCUAGGC